GACGAACGCUGGCGGCGUGCUUAACACAUGCAAGUCGAACGGAAAGGCCCUGCUUGCAGGGUGCUCGAGUGGCGAACGGGUGAGUAACACGUGGGUGAUCUGCCCCUUACUUUGGGAUAAGCCUGGGAAACUGGGUCUAAUACUGGAUAGGACCAUGCUGUAGGUGGUGUGGUGGAAAGAUUAGUUUCGGUAAGGGAUGAGCUCGCGGCCUAUCAGCUUGUUGGUGGGGUAAUGGCCUACCAAGGCGUCGACGGGUAGCCGGCCUGAGAGGGUGGACGGCCACGUUGGGACUGCGAUACGGCCCAGACUCCUGCGGGAGGCAGCAGAGGGGAAUAUUGCACAAUGGGCGCAAGCCUGAUGCAGCGACGCCGCGUGGGGGAUGACGGCCUUCGGGUUGUAAACUCCUUGCAGCCAUGACGAAGCCCUUGUGGUGACGGUAGUGGUAGAAGAAGCACCGGCUAACUACGUG
rnacentral:rRNA from 1 species